rnacentral:RNase_P_RNA from 1 species
UUUGGGUAAUCGCUGCUACUUUUUAGUAGGGGAGGAAAGUCCGGGCUCUAUAGGGCAGAGUGCUAGGUAACGCCUAGGGAAUGUAAGUUCACGACUAGUGCAACAGAGAAUAGACCGCCAUUUUAUGGUAAGGGUGAAACGGCGAGGUAAGAGCUCACCGCACAGCUGGUAACAGUCUGUGGCAAGGUAAACUCCACUCAGAGCAAGACCAAAUAGGCCCUCAUAGCAUGGCCCGUGUGCAGGGCGGGUUGGUUGCUUGAGCCAGGAAGCGAUUCUUGGCCUAGAUGAAUGAUUACCACUCUAGAAAUAGAGAACAGAACCCGGCUUAUAGAAC